CCUACGUGAGGCAGCAGUGGGGAAUAUUGGACAAUGGGGGGAACCCUGAUCCAGCGACGCCGCGUGAGUGAAGAAGUAUUUCGGUAUGUAAAGCUCUAUCAGCAGGGAAGAAAGAAAUGACGGUACCUGACUAAGAAGCCUCGGCUAACUACGUGCCAGCAGCCGCGGUAAUACGUAGGGGGCAAGCGUUAUCCGGAUUUACUGGGUGUAAAGGGAGCGUAGACGGCGAUGCAAGUCUGAAGUGAAAGGCGGGGGCCCAACCCCCGGACUGCUUUGGAAACUGUAUGGCUGGAGUGCAGGAGAGGUAAGUGGAAUUCCUAGUGUAGCGGUGAAAUGCGUAGAUAUUAGGAGGAACACCAGUGGCGAAGGCGGCUUACUGGACUGUAACUGACGUUGAGGCUCGAAAGCGUGGGGAGCAAACAGGAUUAGAUACCCGUGUAGUC
rnacentral:rRNA from 1 species